rnacentral:rRNA from 1 species
ACUUAAAUUGAAGAGUUUGAUCAUGGCUCAGAUUGAACGCUGGCGGCAGGCCUAACACAUGCAAGUCGAGCGGCAGCGGAAAGUAGCUUGCUACUUUGCCGGCGAGCGGCGGACGGGUGAGU